AGACUAUAUAAACCCAACUCUCGACCUCUCAUAAACCUAAACCUAAAACGGCAAAGCCUGACGUCAAAUACACAAAAGAGUUAAACUUGAGCGCCGUCUAGCUCUGCAAGUACGAUCUGUAACUCCAUCUUGACACAAAAGCAGAGAUGAGUUCUAAGAUCAGAUCCCGCCGUUAGAUCGAGUCAUGGUCUUGUCUUAUAGAAAGGUUCAUGUCUUAUUUUCCAUGCUGGGGACCAAUUUUCACCAGCCGUGUGUCUCUUUCGUCCUGCCCGUCCCGAUUGUUUUUGGUGUCAUCGGAAUAUUGAGAUCUCUUUCCAAGAUCAACCAACAAGGUUUUGUUGUGAUUUUUCUCUCCAAGCGAAUUUUUCAUUUACUUACAUCUAACCAUUCACUAUUCUAAGUCCAACAUAGCGGAUUCUAAGUCCAACAUAGCGGAUUAUAAGUUCAACAUAGCGGAGUGAUUUUUUGUUCUAAAAAUAAACUAGAGAAUUCAUUGAACAUAUUCAAGUAGAUUCAUAAAUUUUGCAGGAAUAUUAUUCAAAUAAAGAAUUUUCUAAUUAUAUAGUGAAUAGUUGCUAAUACAAUUACUUAUAUCUGAUUGCUUUUGAAGUUUAUGUAAUAUUAUAUUUCAGGAUAUGCAAAAAAAAUUGUAACUUUUGAUUUUGUAAUCAAAUUUUAUUUUCUACUACAUUUGCUUUGUAAUUUUUGUUUUUAUAAUAAUUUUUAACAUUUGUAUUAUCACUUUUAAAGGAAAUUUAUGUUUAUCA